AGAGCGAACGCUGGCGGCAGGCCUAACACAUGCAAGUCGAGCGCCCGUAGCAAUACGGGAGCGGCAGACGGGAGAGUAACACGUGGGAACGCGCCCUUCGGUUCGGAAUAACUCAGGGAAACUUGAGCUAAUACCGGAUACGCCCUUACGGGGAAAGAUUUAUUGCCGAAGGAACGGCCCGCGUCCGAUUAGCUUGUUGGUGAGGUAAUGGCUCACCAAGGCGACGAUCGGUAGCUGGUCUGAGAGGAUGACCAGCCUCACUGGGACUGAGACACGGCCCAGACUCCUACGGGAGGCAGCAGUGGGGAAUAUUGGACAAUGGGCGCAAGCCUGAUCCAGCCAUGCCGCGUGGAUGAUGAAGGCCCUAGGGUUGUAAAGUCCUUUAACGGGGAAGAUAAUGACGGUACCGUAGAAUAAGCCCGGCUAACUUCGUGCCAGCAGCCGC
rnacentral:rRNA from 1 species